GAUAUGUGUAAAUACAACAUGGCAUCACAACAAAACUCUACAACUCAAAGUAUUUAUCAUUAGGCUUCGAGGAGCCAAGUAUUACAAACAUGGGUCUCAUGACCCAACAUACAGAGCAUACAAGCAACAAGCACAAGCGGAAGCUUAACUUGUCUGAGUACAGACAACUAUAAAAAGAAAAAGGUUGAGAAGCCUGACUGUCUACAAGACCCUGCCGAGGGCACCAGAUUGUAGCUGAGGUAACAAGCUAAACGUCGACGUCCACGCAGAACUACUAGCGAGACUGAAGUCUCUCUGCAAAAACAUAAAUUAAGCAAACGUGAGUACAAAUGUACCCAACAAGACUUACAUCACAACUAGCUACAUAUGCAUCGGUAUCAACAAAACGGAUGGUGGGGUUUAACUACAGCAAGCCAUCUUUGACUCAGUGGCUGACCUGAACUACUACUACAAGUAACUCUUUUGAGGUGGCACACAUGAGUCCACAUAUUCACCAAUCAAUACACCACUAUGGAUCCGCUCCCGUCUCCCUUCGAGAACGCCAUCCAUAGCACUCACGCUUAUCUUGCGCAUUUUAGAGUAUCCACUUUCACUUGUCUAUGAACUGUACAGGCAACCAAGAAGUCCUUUACCGCGGACACGGCUAUUUGAAUAGAUCAUUUAUAACCCUGCAGGGGUGUACUUAUUCACACACGCUCUCGCCACUUACCACCAUGUACACGUCGUGUAUCUCGGCAACCUUCAAGUGGAAGCCUGGCGAGGGAGUCGGCCACGACCUGACUAACCACACAAGUCUCUAGUCCAGGUUUAUUGCCUAUUUGGGUUCCAUCCGCGAGGAGAUCCGGCUGGAGUUUCACUCACAACCCCAAACGAUGUGUGCAGGGUUCCCGAGACACCAAACGGGCGCCCGGUACACCAUGCCACGGUGUAUCUACUGCAUCAUAGCCCACCCCUAGGGUCAGCGCUACGCACGGCCUCCAACACAUAGCCUACAAACACUAGAAACUAGUUGCAACUCCUGGACAGAGGACAAGGGCGGUUAAUAAGUCGAGAGGGUCGAUUAAGGAUCCCAAUGAGUGGUAGUAGCUGUUCAUGGAUCGCAAACACAAAACUCAGUUCCUGAGGACGGUUUCAAUGAGAUAACCCAUCAUGUACUCCUACAUGGCCUCUCAGCGCUACCUUUACCAAAUCGUGUUCACACACUUAGCUCACACACAAUAGGACAUGUUCAUCACCAUUCCAAUUCAUCCCCGAUGAAUCAGACCUGACUCAACUCUAAGCAGUAGCAGGCAUGACAAACAAGAUGAAUGAGUAGGCACAUCAGGGCUCAAACAACUCCUACUCAUGCUAGAGGGUUUCAUCUAUUUACUGUGGCAAUGACAGGUAAUGCAGAGGAAAAGGGGUUCAACUACCGCAGCAUGUAACAGAUGAAUCGUUGUUGUCCUAAUGCAGUAAAAGAGAGCAGGAGUGAGAGAGUGGGAUUGUAUCGGAAUGAACAAGGGGGUUUUGCUUGCCUGAUGGAGUGGUAGUAGGAUACUGCCCUUCAGUUGGAUAUUCGUGGGUAUCCUCGGAGGCAGAACAUACCACGAGAGACACAUCGGAACACAAUCAUCACAUGGCAAUAUGCAACAAUAUGAUGCGUGCUAUGACAUGGCAAUAUGGGUGUGUUUUGGCUAAUGCAUUCUAAAAUAGGUUGGUUUGAGUCCAUUUGAAUCAAAGAUUCAAAUGAAAGCCCAUGAUAUGAAGUCAUAUUAAUGUAUUAGCUUGUUUCACUUAAACAGCAAGGUUAAAGUGUUCUGACAUGCAUGCAACCAUUACAGAUGGAAAGAUUGGCUUUUUCUGAUCAAUUUUCAUAUAUAAAUAUUUGCAUUUGGAGUUACAGAUCAAUUUCUAUGAAUUUUUGAAGUUCAUAACAUUUUCUGGAAUUUCGUGUAUAAGAAUAAAUCCAGUAAAUGAUUUAUUGCAUCAACAUUGCGUCAGGGUGAUGUCAACAGUCAACGGGGACGGUCCAGGUCAAACCUGACAAGUGGGUCCCGCGUGUGAGUGUCAUUAGACUAACUAAUUUUAGUUAGUCCUAAUCCUAGGUUAAUUAGCAAGAGAGGGCCCGCGUGUCAGUGGCUCAUCUAAUUAGCUAAGUUAAUUAACACUAACUAAACCUAACACUAAUUAAACAGGCGCCUAGGCCCACACGUCAGGGGAGGUCAAACCCCUGGUCUGCAGGGUCAAACCCGCCAGUGACUCGACGCCGACGAGGCCAGACGCAGCGGAGGUGCUUGGGAUUGCUCCUCCGGCGACCAAAUCAACGGCGGAGCCCAUCUAAGAGUAGUUGGAGCUCGCGCGCAUCGAGUGGUGGUAGUGGGAGGUGCUGGGUUGGCCGGAAACAACGGCAACGACCACGGGUGGUGGCCGGAGUUCGACCGUUGCUCAAAAUGGUGUUACAGGCUACACCAGGAGCAGCGGGUCGCCGUGCUCGACUCGUGGGGAUGUACUGAGUGUAGUGGUGAGCUCGGGUGCAAGCUUGCACAGCCGUGGCCACGGUGGCGACAUGGCCGGCGGCGAGGAGCUAUCGGCUCCGAUGACCAUGGUGGUUAGAAGGCGUGGAUGAGCACAGGGAGAGAGGGGAAAAGGGCAUGGGCUCACGGCGAUUCCGGAAGAGGCAAUGGUGAGGCUGGGGAGGGGCUGGAGCUCGCGAAUCCCCGGUGAGAUCGCCGGCGGCCAGAGGUUGAAGACAAGGUUGGGAACGUCAUUGUAGGUCUUCCGGCGGGGCGUGUCUCAGUGGGGAGGAGGAGGGGGUCGCGGCAGAGCUUCUGAGCGCAUCGGCUAGGCGUGGGGUCGCCGGUGGCCGCAGUGGUGGUCGUCGGCGCUCUCGGGUGCUCGUGGUCGAUCAUGGGAGAGAGAGAGAAGAGGAGGAGGAGGGGUCCAGAGUAAGAGGGGGGGUCUAGGGGGCUGCGUGGCACUCGGGGACGACUCCAGCAGCGGCAAGCAGGCAGGAGGUGGUCGUGCGCAUGCCGGCAUGCGGUGGCCACGCGCCUCGGUCCUUAUGGCAGAGGAAGGAGAACACACGGGAUCCCCUAGUGGGCUGGGCCGCCAACUGGGCCGGCCAGGUGGGCUUUGGUGGGUCUCUGCUCUUUUCCUUUUUCUUUCUCUUUUCUAAUUCUGACAUUCGUUUCUGGACUUAAUAAAAAUGGCUAGGCACUUUCAAAAAUCAUGCAACUAAUUAAGGUCACUGUUUGGAAUAUUUCCAACAGUAAACAUUUCAGUUUGUGAUUAUUUGGACAUUUAAAACAUUUUAUAACAUUUAAAUGCCCAAAUGCAAAUAGAGUAUGAUUUAAUUCAGAGCCCAAAUAUGUCAUGGAAAAAUGUCCAUCACCUCUGGUUACUGUUUCCUGCAUUUUCCAAACAUGAUGAACAUUUUUGAAAGCUAUUUGGAUUUACUGAAAAUAUUUUAGUUGAACCUAGUGAAUUCCUUUGAUGCUAGGGUUUAGGCAAUCCCCAUUUCAAGUUUCUUUCAAACUUAAACAUGAUGCACACAUGAAGCUAGCCUAGUGCAAUGCCAGAAGCUAGGGAUGUGACAAAUGGAUUUUUCCAAAACUUGGUGGAGAGAGUUGAUAUAGAUAGGAUAAUACUUAGGAAUAUUUUCAGCCAUAAUGGAGCAAGAUAAAAUAUACUUGCUUCACAAACUGAAAAUUUGGACAGAAUCAAAGAAUUGCUCCUAUGCUCACAUAGUUCAAUGGAAUGAACUAAGUUUGGGUGGAGGCUACUGAUUUGAGAUAAUUUAGAAUAUGGAAAAGUUUCAUCCCAUUUGGAAACUCUAUGAAGGUACUUCCUUCACAAGCAUGCCAUCUGGUCAGAAACUUUGAAAAAUUGCACAGGGAGCUAGGAUGACUGGAUUGAGCUCAUAUUUGGUAUCCAUGGGUGAUUUAUCAAGGUUAAUCACCCUGCCAAAUUGCAGCUCAAUUGGAAUUAGGAAUAAAGCAUUUCCUUUGCAAAAAUUUCAAAGAGGGCAGAAACUUGCAUUGGAUCAUGUGCUCAAAUUAUGGUCUUUGCAGCAUGGGUUUGGAUGGAAAUGGUGAAGAUAUAGCAAUUACAAACUCCACAAAUUCUUUGGGAAUUUUCCUUGCUAUAAAAACGGUAGCUCCUCUGGAAAAUGGCAGAAAUGCAAUAUUGGCUUAAAAUAGGAAAAUGCAAUUUUCCUUAUUUAAUUAUGGCCAAUAUCUUUGCCUUUGGAUAAAUAUCAACUCCACCAAUUCUCAUGAAUUUAGGAGAUGGCUAGCUAUGCCUUUGGAUUUUAUUCCUCAAAAAGGCAAGAAAAGGAAUAAAUCAUAAUUCAAAAAUAUUGCAUAAGACAUAGCAAUAUUUUUGCAUAUCCAAGGAUUAGAAGGAUAGGAGGGUCUCUGGGAACAGAUGGGAUGAUCAACAGAUCAAGGAAAAUGAUGGCUCCUUUGUAAUCACAACGGCCACAUUCAAAUUCCAAAAUUUUGGAAUUAGGGUUUGAGAGGAUUUGAGAUUAUUCAAAAGAGAUCUUGCCCACUAACAAAGACAUGAGCAAGCUUUUGAAAGGUUGGAAAUGACAAGAAUUCUCAGAGUCAUCCAACAAACUCAGGAGAAAGAUUUUGAAAAUGAGUUCCAUGAAGGAAUAACAGCUCAAAAAUUGAUAACCCAAUUUUGGGGCUGUUACAAACCUUCCCCCCUUAAAAAGAAUCUCGUCCUCGAGAUUCCUAGGGUUACAGCACAAUUGCAAAGAGAACUACUCCAGGGAAAACCUCAGGGUAAAUUUUAACCCUUUGGUCGGAUACGAACGAGUUGGGGCACCGAUAAUUGGUGCACCUAGGGAGAGAUAUGGGCAAACACGGUUAUAUCCACGACUAGGGGAAUUCGAGAUCAAACUCUCGAAAAAUUUGCUAGAUGCACCCCAGUGAACAGUGGAUUCACCUGCUGACACGUGGGUCCAGGGCCCACUAGCAGCCUCCUUCUUCUACCUCUGUCCAACUGCUUCUUCUGUGCUGCUGCUUAGCGUGCGGCUUGGCGCAACACGCAUCUAGCUCCUAGUGUGAUGAGGACCCUAGUGCCGUAGUGUGUGGCGUGCACGACACCGGUGCAUGGAGCACUCACAUCGUGGGCCAGCACCUUGUCGGCACUUCUGGGCGAUUCACCUCCUGGACGCCGGUGAUCGGGUGACGGGCGGUUCUCCUGGACCUCGCUCACCGUACAUCGGGGUUGGGCUAUAAAAGACGGCAGCACGGCUCUCCUCCAAUGCACCAACACAAUGCCGCUCUAUUACCUCUUCGUUUUGGGGUGAGAUCAAGCCGAGCUCCUUCGGUGAGGAGGGGUUCUUGGCAGUGCUACGGUUGUUCCUCACGACACUGCUGGGUACGCUAAUCGGCUCAUCGAUCCUCCUGCUGAUACUCAUCAGGAAUGAUUGGCCUCGGGACAACGCGUGACUAGGUACGGUGGCUCGAGAUGCGGGAGAAGACGAUGCACUGCGUGGUCGUCUGCCACACUUGAUCCUCCAUCGCUUUGUGCUGGCGGAGUAAUCGCGUGCUGCGGUGGAACGGCGGUGGCAACUCGGCUGCAUCACGCAAGGCCGUGACGGUGGGGUAGUGAGGUUCAGAUGUGGGUGAGGUGGCUGCGCCAGCUCAGGAUUCAGACUAGGGCACGGGAAAAAUUUUGCGGAUAGCUCCACGAAAUGUAGGUGUCGAGGUAGAAUCGAAUUUGAAAUCUGUAUCGGGGUAGAUGUACUGGAUCGAGUGAAAUAAAAUUGCCAGUGUUCCUUCAGAAGUGAAAUCGGGAAAAAGAACUAGAGACGAGGAACUGCCAGACGGAAAUGCCUCUGUGAGGCUCUAGGUUUAGAUAUCCGGCACAUGAGGUAUGCACAGAUAGAGAUGGAUACGUGACUUUGCAUUCCCCCGAGUACUGCCCGAACAUACUCGUGGGUGAACCGGGUAUGCAUGCAAUAUGCAAUACAAACAAACUAACAAACAUACCGAUGCAACAAACAUGCAAUGCAAACACAGUAGAAAAUCAUUCUAAGGUGUUUUAAUGCUAGUGGGUAUAUGUAAUCCUGGCAUACAUAUACCUACACAAGCGCGCAUUUUAAUAGAGACUCGGGACGAGCCAAUGUUGUUUUUAGUGUAUGUGUCGUACUGAUUAAAAUCUUGUUAGCAACACAUUGGCAACCCUGUCAAACAUCUCUGCUUGACAGAGAGACAAACAAAAACAAGCACGAAAACAAACAUAGAACACAUCAUACAUAUUACAACAAUGCAAGCAUACAACAAAUCACGAAUGCUCUACGCGCUAAACGAAACUACUCACUCUGGGAUACAUAGUUCUAUCCUCCUAUCGAGGAUGAACAGACUGACUGACCUACUCGCAGAUUCAUCUCACUGCGUGGCUGAGGUCAUGCAGAGGACUGGCCUUGCUGGGGCUCUCCGCGAGGACAAAGACUAAGCCAAUCUCCAUCUUCAUCGUCCGACAACACUAUGGGUUGGGCUUCUACUGCUAGAGGUGUGGCUGAAAUUGAUCCAAGCAAAUGCUGCUGGUGGAUCCGAAAAAGAGCCUUGUCGAGGGUGACGAUGUUUGGCCUGGGCCACAAUACAGGCUGAGAGGGUAGCACUGGUUCGGAUGGCAUGGGGUGAAUGGCUUGAGAUGUGAAUUUACGAGCCUCACGAUAAGCUUCCUUGACCACUCGUAACUCAUCAUUGUCCAGGGUUCUAAAUUCGGCAAGCAUCUUUGAAAUCAUCAUCCCCUGGGCAGUGAUAUAUUGCACCAAGAGAGCGAUUGCGGGGUCAUAUCCUUGGAUAGCGGGAGAAGGCUGCAUUCCUGCUUCUGCCACAAUGGGGAAAAAGCAGAACUCCCGCCUCGUUGGCACAUGCGAGAACUUGGUUCAGAGGUAUAGGAUGGCCUCCACGGCAGCGGUCUGAAUGGCUAAAUCAGUGGUAGGCAUGGAUCUACCCUGAAAAACCAACGGCUGGCCAUCUACUGCAGGGCCUAGGCUGAUGUGCACUCUUGCAACAAAGCGAUGAAGGUGAGGGACGGGUGUCGACUGGAACACCAUGUAAUCUGGGCUAGCAUUGCAGCCAAAGGCUUUAGUGAGCAUCUCGGUAAGAAGGGGUGGAAAGCCAGGGUGGUUGACGACAAAGGUGCGGGUGUGAAACUUGGGAGCUUUGAAGCUGCUAGUCAUGGCUGGGGAGCUACUAGCUAGGCUUCUCUGCAGGGACAUGGGUGAACGAGGGGAGCGCGAAACGUCUAGCGAAAAAGGGGGAUUUUAUAGGCAGCUAUGCGGGACAUGCCCGCAUGGCGUGGCCCCUUUCCCUUAAUGGUGAAGGGAAGGCGGUGCGGCCAACCAAAAAGGAUAGGGUUGCUAUUCAUUCCACGGAUAACUAGGCGGGGACAGCGGGGUGAGGAGUGUCAGUCCUGACUGCGCCACCUGUUGAUUAAUAGUGGCCAUGCCGGAUGCCAGGGAUGGGUCAAAUCCCUUAGGGUCAUUACGGUUUAAUGGUAACGGUGAUCUAAUGCUAUGAUAACCUAUGCCAGCCUGGUUGCUCUGAUACCAUCUCCUGUGGCACCCCGAUCCGCAUGGAGCAGGGAGGCUUCGCACGUCAGCCCAGGAUUAUGCCAGACGCACGAUAGGUCCAUGAUACAGCAUUCUAGGUACAAUAACAUUCAUCAACUACAUGUGUAUAAGAUUACAUCAUUGAUGAAUACAAUUAUCUAGCAUAGCCCUAAGGCUAUUAAAUGGUAGCGGAAGUCUAUUUAAAUGGCGGCGGAAGUCUUGGUUUGGCAGCAUCUCACUUAGGCUAGGCUCCACAACUCACGGGACUGGCAAGAUUACAGCCUAGCACGACGGAACAAGCGAACAAGUUGGGUACGACCUACAGAACUGGCAUGACACGCCAGGUCGGUACAUUGAGUGUACUUGCAAGACAACCAAAUACAUAACAUCCAAAGAAACAGAUGACAAAGCAAGAACCAAGCAUAUGCAACAGUCUACUUUAACACAACUUCUAAGCAUGGCAAUGAUAUUAACUAGAAUCAUAAAUCAAACUAAGCAUCAACAUCAUAGCAUCUACUAGCAUGGCAUAUCAAAUUUACUCCUACCAUAUCAAUAGCAAAGCAUAACAUAUCAAAAUAUGGAUGGCAUCAUGAAACUAUGCUUAAAAUAAACUACCAGUUACCUCCCGUGAAGGCAUGACGUAUUAACCUUAUGCAACACCACUUACUCUGCCACGGCUCCUCGGAGCACACGCAUGACUUACCGAGACCUCGUCUCGGGGUCAUAUCAACACCUCAUCGUGACUUCUCACGAUUAUCUCAUAGUCCAAGUCAUCACAUGAUUUAGCACAUUUUAAUUAUCACACAAGUUAUUAGCAGGUUUAUCCUCCAUUUCAACCAAGAUCCGAUAGUGUGACCUACUACGAACUUUUGCCCAUGACCAGGACGCGGCUAUCAAUAGAUUGAAUACACUCUCUGCAAAGGUAGCACACUUUACCCACACCACAGAACCUUGGCCUCGCACUCCCAUACGUGCGGACCACGGUGUUCCGACAAAACCGAGCUACUGCCAUGACACUCUCCCGGCCACUCCGACCAACACCCCUUGGGGUUCGGUCCUGGGUGGCCCCAUGUCUACCAAAGACACCAACGGCCACCGUCGUGGCAAAACAGUCCCAAACAGGACAAGGUACCAUAAAAACAAAAACGAGCACACAAGGUUAUGUCCGCCUACCUGAUCAGGGUAGCGCGUUCCCAUAACCUUCCCUCACGGGAGGCACCGGUGAGAGGCAUGACAAUAGACCCUGCCAGGACCUUCCCAUAAGGUAAAUGUGGUUGCACAGGAGAAAGCUCGACUUGGGUGGCACUAUGAUAUCCCAGUGAUGACGGGGGAGGUUUGUUAUUAAGUAAUAUUAUUAACUUCUCCAUCAUCAAUCAUCAUGCGAGCAUUAUUAACAAGAAUGCAAUAACUAACAUGCAACAUACCGAUGCAGUAACAAAACAUCAAGCAUUUCAAAAGAACAGUGAUAGCAUGCGAAACAUGGCAAUACCAAGUACUAGCAAACUUAUUAGUGCAAUAGAAUUAUCAUAACAUCGAUACUACUAACAUGAAACUAAACUGGGCAGAGGCAUGAUAUUAUUAGUAGCAACAGCAAACUAGCAUGUCAACCUAUUUCAUGAACGCAUAAGCAUGCAAGACAGAUAACAAAACAUAUAGCACGACUAAAAUAAUAGGAGACGGAACAGACAAGAAACUACUGCAACUAAACACACACACGAGGUGCAAGCAAAGUCAACAUGCAAGUUCGGGGCUCAAGAUAAUUGGUUGGCUUGCCUGGGGUCGACAAAUACUCCGGAAAAAGUGCGGAACGAUCGCAGAAAGAUUUGCCAGAAACAGUUCUCUCUCGGAGGGGGCCUGUUUACGUGCAAGGGCAAAGUGGUCAUUUUCAUUGUGUGAAAACAUAAUAAAAAUGAUACCAACAGAAAGAGUUCGACGAGAUGAAGACGUGAGCGUUGGUUUCACCUCAAUCGGAGUUACGGUUGCGGAGUUAUAAAGUGAUGAAAAUCAGGGACUUUUUUGCAAAAAGAAUAUCCACAGACGGGUCCCUGAGUGGAUAAGACAGAGGCGCAAAAUUAGAAAUACGCUUUAUGAUUAAGAAAACGCAUUCUGCGCUGAAACAGAGGGUAAUACGCUUUCAAUAAAAGAAAACAUACUUUGAGCUGAAGCAGAGAGAAAAUACGCUUUCGUUGGAUGAAAGUGUGCACGCGCAGAAGCCGUGUCCACUUAUCCACGUCAGCAGGGCGCUGGGCCACUAGCGCGUGGGGCCCAGGCGCAGGGGAAGCGGGUAAGGCGCUCGUCUUCUUCCUCCCUCUGUUCUUCGCGUGGAACAGAGGAGGACCAGGCGAGGCAGAGGCGAGCUUCAGGCGAG
rnacentral:lncRNA from 1 species